rnacentral:rRNA from 1 species
UACGGAGGGUGCAAGCGUUAUCCGGAUUCACUGGGUUAAAGGGUGCGUAGGUGGGCUGGUAAGUCAGUGGUGAAAUCUCCAGGCUUAACUUGGAAACUGCCAUUGAUACUAUUAGUCUUGAAUACCGUGGAGGUCAGCGGAAUAUGUCAUGGUAGCGGUGGAAAUGCUUAGAUAUGACUAGAACACCAAUUGCAAGCGCUGGCUAAGCACGGAAUAUUGACACUGAGUGAC